rnacentral:rRNA from 1 species
GAUGAACGCUAGCUACAGGCUUAACACAUGCAAGUCGAGGGGUAACGAGAGGAAAGCUUGCUUUCCUUGUCGACGACCGGCGCACGGGUGAGUAACGCGUAUCCAACCUGCCCCCAACUAAGGAAUAACCUUGCGAAAGUAAGACUAAUACCUUAUAAUUUCCUCAGAUGUCAUCUGACGAGGAAUAAAGAUUUAUCGGUUGUGGAUGGGGAUGCGUCUGAUUAGCUUGUUGGCGGGGUAACGGCCCACCAAGGCAACGAUCAGUAGGGGUUCUGAGAGGAAGGUCCCCCACAUUGGAACUGGGACACGGUCCAAACUCCUACGGGAGGCAGCAGUGAGGAAUAUUGGUCAAUGGGCGAAAGCCUGAACCAGCCAAGUAGCGUGCAGGAUGACGGCCCUAUGGGUUGUAAACUGCUUUCAUACAGGAAUAAAGUUAGCCACGUGUGGUUAUUUGUAGGUACUGUAUGAAUAAGGACCGGCUAAUUCCGUGCCAGCCGCCGCAGUAA